rnacentral:rRNA from 1 species
UACGGAGGGAGCUAGCGUUGUUCGGAAUUACUGGGCGUAAAGCGCGCGUAGGCGGACCUGCAAGUCGGGGGUGAAAGCCCGAGGCUCAACCUCGGAACUGCCUUCGAUACUGCGGGUCUCGAGUCCGGGAGAGGUGAGUGGAAUUCCUAGUGUAGAGGUGAAAUUCGUAGAUAUUAGGAAGAACACCAGUGGCGAAGGCGGCUCACUGGCUCGGUACUGACGCUGAGGCGCGAAAGCGUGGGGAGCAAACAGG